GAUGAACGCUGGCGGCGUGCUUAACACAUGCAAGUCGAACGGUGAAGCAGAGCUUGCUCUGUGGAUCAGUGGCGAACGGGUGAGUAACACGUGAGCAACCUGCCCCGGACUCUGGGAUAAGCGCUGGAAACGGCGUCUAAUACCGGAUACGAGAUUCCACCCCAGGGUGAGUUUCUGGAAAGAUUUUUUGGUCUGGGAUGGGCUCACGGCCUAUCAGCUUGUUGGUGAGGUAAUGGCUCACCAAGGCGUCGACGGGUAGCCGGCCUGAGAGGGUGACCGGCCACACUGGGACUGAGACACGGCCCAGACUCCUACGGGAGGCAGCAGUGGGGAAUAUUGCACAAUGGGCGGAAGCCUGAUGCAGCAACGCCGCGUGAGGGAUGGCGGCCUUCGGGUUGUAAACCUCUUUUAGCAGGGAAGAAGCGAAAGUGACGGUACCUGCAGAAAAAGCGCCGGCUAACUACGUGCCAGCAGCAGCCGCAG
rnacentral:rRNA from 1 species